UACGUAGGGUCCGAGCGUUGUCCGGAAUUAUUGGGCGUAAAGGGCUCGUAGGCGGUUUGUCACGUCGGGAGUGAAAACUCAGGGCUCAACCCUGAGCGUGCUUUCGAUACGGGCAGACUAGAGGUAUUCAGGGGAGAACGGAAUUCCUGGUGUAGCGGUGGAAUGCGCAGAUAUCAGGAAGAACACCAAUGGCGAAGGCAGCUCUCUGGGACGGUACUGACGCUGAGACGCGAAAAGCGUGGGGAGCGAACAGG
rnacentral:rRNA from 1 species